AUACAUGCAAGUCGAGCGGACAGAAGGGAGCUUGCUCCCGGAUGUUAGCGGCGGACGGGUGAGUAACACGUGGGUAACCUGCCUGUAAGACUGGGAUAACUCCGGGAAACCGGAGCUAAUACCGGAUAGUUCCUUGAACCGCAUGGUUCAAGGAUGAAAGACGGUUUCGGCUGUCACUUACAGAUGGACCCGCGGCGCAUUAGCUAGUUGGUGGGGUAAUGGCUCACCAAGGCGACGAUGCGUAGCCGACCUGAGAGGGUGAUCGGCCACACUGGGACUGAGACACGGCCCAGACUCCUACGGGAGGCAGCAGUAGGGAAUCUUCCGCAAUGGACGAAAGUCUGACGGAGCAACGCCGCGUGAGUGAUGAAGGUUUUCGGAUCGUAAAGCUCUGUUGUUAGGGAAGAACAAGUGCGAGAGUAACUGCUCGCACCUUGACGGUACCUAACCAGAAAGCCACGGCUAACUACGUGCCAGCAGCCGCGGUAAUACGUAGGUGGCAAGCGUUGUCCGGAAUUAUUGGGCGUAAAGGGCUCGCAGGCGGUUUCUUAAGUCUGAUGUGAAAGCCCCCGGCUCAACCGGGGAGGGUCAUUGGAAACUGGGAAACUUGAGUGCAGAAGAGGAGAGUGGAAUUCCACGUGUAGCGGUGAAAUGCGUAGAGAUGUGGAGGAACACCAGUGGCGAAGGCGACUCUCUGGUCUGUAACUGACGCUGAGGAGCG
rnacentral:rRNA from 1 species